rnacentral:rRNA from 1 species
UACGGGGGGGGGCAAGCGUUGUCCGGAUUUAUUGGGCGUAAAGAGCGUGUAGGCGGCCAUGUAGGUCCGGUGUGAAAACUCGAGGCUUAACCUCGAGAUGUCAUCGGAAACCAUUUGGCUAGAGUCCGGAAGAGGAGAGUGGAAUUCCUGGUGUAGCGGUGAAAUGCGCAGAUAUCAGGAAGAACACCAAUGGCGAAAGCAGCUCUCUGGGACGGUACUGACGCUGAGACGCGAAAGCGUGGGGAGCGAACAGG